rnacentral:rRNA from 1 species
GGAAUCACUGGGCGUAAAGGGUGCGUAGGCGGGUCUUUAAGUCAGGGGUGAAAUCCUGGAGCUCAACUCCAGAACUGCCUUUGAUACUGAGGAUCUUGAGUUCGGGAGAGGUGAGUGGAACUGCGAGUGUAGAGGUGAAAUUCGUAGAUAUUCGCAAGAACACCAGUGGCGAAGGCGGCUCACUGGCCCGAUACUGACGCUGAGGCACGAAAGCUAGGGGAGCAAACAGGAUUAGAAACCCGGG